UACGUAGGGUGCGAGCGUUAAUCGGAAUUACUGGGCGUAAAGCGUGCGCAGGCGGCUUUGCAAGACAGAUGUGAAAUCCCCGGGCUCAACCUGGGAACUGCAUUUGUGACUGCAAGGCUAGAGUACGGCAGAGGGGGAUGGAAUUCCGCGUGUAGCAGUGAAAUGCGUAGAUAUGCGGAGGAACACCAAUGGCGAAGGCAGCUCCCUGGACCUGUACUGACGCUCAUGCACGAAAGCGUGGGGAGCAAACAGG
rnacentral:rRNA from 1 species